rnacentral:piRNA from 1 species
UGAGAAAUCCAUUCACAGUCU